rnacentral:rRNA from 1 species
UACGUAGGGUGCGAGCGUUGUCCGGAAUUAUUGGGCGUAAAGCGCGUGUAGGUGGUUCUGUAAGUAGGGCGUGAAAGCUCCCGGCUCAACUGGGAGAGGCCGUUCUAAACUGCAGAGCUAGAGGAUGGUAGAGGGAGGUGGAAUUCCAGGUGUAGCGGUGGAAUGCGCAGAGAUCAGGAGGAAUACCGAAGGCGAAGGCAGUCUUCCAAGCCGUUAUUGACGCUCAACUGCGAAGGUGUGGGUAUCAAACAGGAUUAGAUACCCGUGUA